UCCUUUUUAUGGCUGAGUAAUACUCCAUUGUGUGGAUACAUCACAUUUUGUUUAUUUAUUCAUCAGUUGAUCACCAUUUGGGUUGUUUCCACUUGGCCAUCGUGAAUAGUGCUUCUGUGAGCAUUUGUACAAGUUUUUGUGGGGACAUACAUUUUCAUUUCUCUCGGAAAUUACCUAGGAGUGGAAUUAUUAGUUCAUGGGGUAGCUCUGUGUUUAACCAUCUGAGAAGCUGCCAGGCUUUUCCAAAGCAGUUGCGCCAUUUCACAUCCCCAUCCUUGGGGGAUGAGGGCUUCGAUUUCUCCACAGCCUCAUCAGCACUUGCUAUUGUCCAAUUUUUUUUAAACCAUAGCCAUUCUAGUGGAUGUGAGGUGCUACCUCAUCAUGGUCUGACUCACGAGGCUCUAACGGCUGGUGGUGCUGAGCAUCUUUUCAUGUGCUUAUCAGCCAUUCAUGUCUUCGGUUUGGUGUCUGUUCAUAUCCUUUGCGCACUUUUGAACUGGGUUAUUUGAGUUUUGUUGAGCUGUAAGAGUUCUUUAUGUAUUGUACAUACAAGGCCCUUAUGAGAUGUAUAAUGUGUAAUGACUUUCUCCCAUUCUGUGGGAUCUUACUUUCUUGAUGGUGUCCCUUGAUGCAGGGAAGUUUUAAGUUUUGAUAAGUCCAGUUUGUUCUCUUUCUGUGUCAUCCAAGAAAGCAUUGCCUAAUCCAAGGUCACGGAGUCACACCUGUGUUUUCUUCUUGGCACUUUGUAGUUUUAGUCCUUGCAUAUGCCUCAUUUUUGAUAUGUUGGCUCAAAUGUAUUUUCAUAUUCAGGAUGGAAAUACCUACCGGCUCCCCGAUCCAGUGAAGGAGGAGAGCAUGGCAGCAGGCAGAUGUGACAAGUGGCUGUCACCUCAAAGGAAGCAGGACCAACAGGUGAAGGUGCGCGUGCAGUAGGUUCUGUGUUCGCAGGGUGCUCACAGGCUUUGGGGGAGGGAGUCAGUGGCUGGGUGUCAUUGUCUCAGGAUGGAGGCGUCCUCCUGGGGAAGCCUGGGCAGGGACCAGGAGUCAGGCUGCGCUGCUCUGGGGGGCAGGCUGGCGCUUGAGCCUGGAGCGUCCCCUCUGCCGCCUGCCUAUGGUUCCUCGUAGGCUGCCAUCUCUUCUCUGUCGGUGUUUGGGUGUCCGGCAUGGAGUUUUUCAAGCCUCUGAGACAGGCGCUGAGGCCGGAGGUGGAGGCACAGAGCCCCCCAGGAGCCUGGAAACCCUCGACGGCAUGAGCACAGCUCCUCUGGGGACGCCUGCGUCGGAGCCUGUGGGCCCAGUGAGCCAGCCCCCGGGGAGCACCGCCAAGCUUGACUUGCGCGUUCAUUCAUCCACCUUCCAUGCCGGCCCUGUGGGGGCAGUGCCGAGGACACCAUGGUAACAGGGACGGCCCCAGCCUGGCG